rnacentral:lncRNA from 1 species
CCUAAUUAGAAAGGCGGUAAUUUUAAAGACGAUAGAUGGAUAAAUUUAUAACAAAGGGAAGAAACCAGCCUAAAAAGGCUGAGAAUACCCAAAAUCAGAACCCUUCUUCCUCUACAGGGGAUUACAGAAUCUUUGCUCAUUAGGGACAUUGGCUUGAAGUUUUUUUUUCUUUCUUUCCUUCUUUUUUGUUGUGUCUUUGAUAGGUUUUGGUUUUCUCCUUUUAGCUUUUCUUGUCUGUUUCUGAGUUCCUACUCAAAAAUCCUUUGUCCAGACUAAUGUCUUAAAACAUUUUCCACAUGAUGUUUUUCUAGUACUUUCAUUGUUUAGGAUCUAUAUUUAAGUCUUUAAUAAAUUUUGCUUUGAGUUUUGUAAUCAUGGAAGCUAGGGGUAUCAGUUAAUUCUUCAGCAUAUGGAUAUCCAGUUUAUCCAGCACGAUUUAUUGAAAAGACUGUUCUUUCCCUAAUGUGUGAUCUUGGCAUCUUUAGUGAAAAUAAGUUGGCAGUAAAUAUCUGGAUUUAAUUCUGGAUUCUCUAUUUUGUUUUCAUGCCAAUAUGACACUGUUUUAUUACUAUAGCUUUGUAGUAUAUUUUGAAGCCAGAUAAUGUGAUGCUUUCAGCUUUGUUCUCUUUGUUCAGAAUUGCUUUGAUUAUUUGAAGUCUUUUAUGGUUUCAUGCACAUUUAAUUUUCUUUGGUUUCUGUGAAUAAUGUCAUUCCUGA